UAAAGUGGUACCUCAGGUUAAGAACAGUUUCAGGUUAAGAAUGGACAUCCAGAACGAAUUAAGUUCUUAACCCGAGGUACCACUGUAUUGUCCUUCAGUCCACUCAACAUCAUACAGAGGUGAGUGGGCAAUCUGUGUGGAAAGUGCUGUUUUAUGAGGCAUUGAAGACUUCAGGUCGGAUCCAAAUAUGUCCUUUCUUUUGUAAAAUGCUGCCUCUUCUCAUGGAAGAGCCUUUUCUGAUCUAGGAAAGAAAUGUGACAUCAGAAGUGGCCCAAAUCCAGAGAGACACUUGCACAAGACUGCAAGAGACUUUUGCCCAAAUCUUGUUCUUUCUUUGUCAUCACUAGAGCAGCGGUUCUUCACCUUUUAGGAGGUCAUGGGCCUCUUUGAUAAUUUGAUGGACCCCCACCCAAUAAAUUUGAUAUGAAUUUUUUUUCACCCCACAAACACAGUUUUCAAAGUAUCAGGAAGAAAAUAGAAGAACAUCCCUUCUUUUGCACCUGGUUCAUGGACUGUCUGUGGACCACAGGUUAAGAACCUAAGUGCUAGUGUGUAUAUGUUUUAGCCUGUCUCUUUCCUAAUUGGUGCUUCUCUUACUGUAACACAUCCUGGUGCAUAGUGUACUGCACUGAGAGAAUACUCUGUUGGAUUGUGGAAGAGCUUACUGAACAGCACCAAUACACCCCCCCUUUCACUCACAGUUCUUUGGCCCACACCUCAAUAAGCUGGAUGGCUCAGUAAUGGGAGACAGCGAUAAACUUGGUUCAAAUAAUUUCCUCAGCAUGGCCAAUUCAUCUGUUACCGGGAAGUGAGAAAUAACCUUCUUUCUACCGCUCUUGAUAAAUUUAUGAAUAGAUGGUUGCUGAGAAUACUUGGCCAGGAAAACCUGGGUCAGAAUGACACCCAAGAUAAUCUAAUCAUUGUGAAUACAAUCACAGGCUUCUUCUAGGCCACAAUGAGCAUAAAAUGAGCCACCUUGCCUGUACUAUCUUUAAGAAAAUGUCAGAAAAUGGGAAAAUAACUCACCUUUUUAGAGGUAGGUACACCUGCAAACCUAUGAUGAUCAAAGACACCAUUUUGUCAGAUUUGUGGAUGAAAAGAAAGCUUCAUUCUCAGGAUAGUUGGCCCAAAAUCCUUUGCAAACAAUUACCUCACAUUUAGAAAUUCAGCUUUCUUUAAAAACAAAUGCACAAAGUGUUUAGAGGAAUUUAAGUUCUGAAAAGGUUUUUUUAAAUGAAAUAUACCGAUACACCAUUUUUUUUUACAUUUAAUUAGUCUUUAAAGGGCUAUCUGUGUAUAAUUCAUUGAUUCAAGUAUCUGACAAUGAUUCCACUUUUCUUUUUUCUUUACAUUUGCAUUUAUCAUAUUUUAUAAAUCUAACGAUAAAUGUGUUUUAUGGACAUAAGUUGUCACAUUGACAGUGAAUUUAAUAGAGGCCUGUUUCACUUGCAAUUAAACUCUGUCAUCCCCACUCUGUAGGCCUCAUCUAGACCUCUCGUUCUGCCUAAAAAACUGCCCAUCUGAGUAAAAGCAGCAGACUUUGGAUGGAUUCUGAGGAGACGUGGAGAUACAAGUCAAGACGUCCUUCUGAAAAGAUAAUCUGCUUAGGGAAAAGAGGCAAUUAGGAAAACUCUUCAUAAGACGCUAAAUAAUGUUUUCUCCGAGCCAUUGAUAAAAUCUACAGUAGAAGAACAGGUGAAAGGCGAUUUCGAUUUCUGCAGCUAUCCUGGAAAGGGAACCUUGGGAAAUCUACGAUCUUCUUACAAGGUUGGCUUGCUCUGAUACAAUGUUCAGUUCCCCUGAAGCCUGAUACACUGUAGGUUCUUGGAAGAAAAGUGCCUGCAUUUAAUUCCAGCACCAUUUCAACAAAGAAGAAAUACUCAACUAAGAAUGACAUGGGGGAUGAGGGAGAAAA